rnacentral:miRNA from 1 species
AAAAGCUGGGCUGAGAGGCG